GCUUUUUUGCUGACGACCGGCGCACGGGUGCGUAACGCGUAUACAAUCUACCUCUUACUGAGGGAUAGCCCAUGGAAACGUGGAUUAAUACCUCAUAGUAUUAUUGAUCGGCAUCGAUUAGUGAUUAAAGGUUACGGUAAGAGAUGAGUAUGCGUCCUAUUAGCUAGAUGGUAAGGUAACGGCUUACCAUGGCAACGAUAGGUAGGGGUCCUGAGAGGGAGAUCCCCCACACUGGUACUGAGACACGGACCAGACUCCUACGGGAGGCAGCAGUGAGGAAUAUUGGACAAUGGGCGAGAGCCUGAUCCAGCCAUGCCGCGUGCAGGAAGACUGCCCUAUGGGUUGUAAACUGCUUUUACAGAGGAAGAAACCCCUUUACGUGUAAAGGGCUGACGGUACUCUGCGAAUAAGGAUCGGCUAACUCCGUGCCAGCAGCCGCGGUAAUACGGAGGAUCCAAGCGUUAUCCGGAAUCAUUGGGUUUAAAGGGUCCGUAGGCGGAUUUAUAAGUCAGUGGUGAAAGUCUUCCGCUUAACGGGAGAACUGCCAUUGAUACUGUAGAUCUUGAAUUAUUAUGAAGUGGUUAGAAUGUGUAGUGUAGCGGUGAAAUGCAUAGAUAUUACACAGAAUACCGAUUGCGAAGGCAGAUCACUAAUAAUAUAUUGACGCUGAUGGACGAAAGCGUAGGUAGCGAACAGGAUUAGAUACCCUGGUAGUCUACGCCGUAAACGAUGGUUACUAGCUGUCCGGCCUAAUUGAGGGCUGGGUGGUUAAGCGAAAGUGAUAAGUAACCCACCUGGGGAGUACGUUCGCAAGAAUGAAACUCAAAGGAAUUGACGGGGGCCCGCACAAGCGGUGGAGCAUGUGGUUUAAUUCGAUGAUACGCGAGGAACCUUACCAGGGCUUAAAUGCAGUCUGACAGGGAUGGAAACAUCNUUUUUCUUCGGACAGAUUGCAAGGUGCUGCAUGGUUGUCGUCAGCUCGUGCCGUGAGGUGUCAGGUUAAGUCCUAUAACGAGCGCAACCCCUGUGGUUAGUUGCCAGCACGUAAUGGUGGGAACUCUAGCCAGACUGCCGGUGCAAACCGUGAGGAAGGUGGGGAUGACGUCAAAUCAUCACGGCCCUUACGUCCUGGGCCACACACGUGCUACAAUGGUAGGGACAGAGAGCAGCCACUGGGCGACCAGGAGCGAAUCUAUAAACCCUAUCACAGUUCGGAUCGUAGUCUGCAACUCGACUACGUGAAGCUGGAAUCGCUAGUAAUCGCAUAUCAGCCAUGAUGCGGUGAAUACGUUCCCGGGCCUUGUACACACCGCCCGUCAA
rnacentral:rRNA from 1 species